rnacentral:lncRNA from 1 species
AAUUGGUAUUGCAAGGGUUCUACUGACAACUAUAAUCUAAUCGUACAAUAUCUUUUAGCAGAGAAAUAACUUAUAGUUUGGUAGAUAUGCACGAAGAUGGUUUCCUAGAUGAUAAAACCAGAAAUUCAUAAAUUGGACAGAUUUUAUCCUUUACCAAAAAUUCAUAAGGCCAAUAACCCAAGAAGACCCAUCGUUUGAGCGAAUGGUCAUCCGACGGGAAACAAAUGCGGAAUUCGUUGACUUCCAUCUUUGUCAACAUGUUGAAACUUAUUAUCUCACGUCCAAGACACAACCGAUUAUAUUAGAAAAAACGCAGACCUUAAAUCAUCUUGACACUUUUCUCUAUGAAUACCACCUCUCUAUACACGAAAAUUCCAAAUGCGAAUGGCAUUGAUGCAUGUAAAGAAGUUUUGGAUUCCCGUCCAGUUAAAUACCCACCCACUGAAUGACUUGUCAAUAUACUCACGGUGGAACUAAAGAACACCAACAUCACCUUUGAUGUAGAUCAUUAUCUACAAAUUGAUAAAACUGCUAUG